rnacentral:rRNA from 1 species
UGGGGAAUAUUGGACAAUGGGCGGAAGCCUGAUCCAGCAACGCCGCGUGAGGGAUGACGGCCUUCGGGUUGUAAACCUCUUUUAGCACAGACGAAGCGCAAGUGACGGUAUGUGCAGAAGAAGGACCGGCCAACUACGUGCCAGCAGCCGCGGUAAUACGUAGGGUCCGAGCGUUGUCCGGAAUUAUUGGGCGUAAAGGGCUCGUAGGCGGUUUGUCGCGUCGGGAGUGAAAACACCGGGCUUAACUCGGUGCUUGCUUUCGAUACGGGCAGACUAGAGGUAUUCAGGGGAGAACGGAAUUCCUGGUGUAGCGGUGAAAUGCGCAGAUAUCAGGAGGAACACCGGUGGCGAAGGCGGUUCUCUGGGAAUAUCCUGACGCUGAGGAGCGAAAGUGUGGGGAGCGAACAGGAUUAGAUACCCUGGUAGUCCACACCGUAAACGUUGGGCGCUAGGUGUGGGGUCCAUUCCACGGAUUCCGUGCCGCAGCUAACGCAUUAAGCGCCCCGCCUGGGGAGUACGGCCCAAGGCU